rnacentral:lncRNA from 1 species
GUGACAGUUAGUCCCUGGCCUGACAUCACUUCAGAGUGUUUUUCCCAAAAAGGGUAAAUCCAGGUAGGUAUGUGGAGGUCAGAUCGGAUGGUCUAUGAGAGCUUUAGCAGGAUUGGUGGGAAAAGGGAGUCAUGCAGACUCAAAUCCCCUUGAAAGUGCCUGGAGACUCUAACCCACAGGCUUCUGGAAGGGACAUGAGAGAGACCUUCCAGAUCGGAUGUUUCAGGGUCUAUCCAGCUCCAAUGGUGCAGUCAUCUGAUGCCUGGAGAAAUUCAGGUCUCACGUUGCACCUCGGAUCACAGAAUCAAAGAAUCACAGAAUCACAGAAUCACCUAGGUUGGAAGAGACCUCCAAGAUCACCUAGCCUAACCUCUGACCUCCACUAAACUGUAUCACUAAGCUCUACAUCUAAAUGUCUUUUCAAGACCUGCAGGGAUGGUGACUCAACCACUUCCCUGGGCAGCCCAUUCCAAUGCCUAACAACCCUUUCGGUAAAGAAGUUAUUCCUAAUAUCCAACCUAAACCUCCCCUCGUGCAACUUUAUCCCAUUCCUCCCCCCCAAAAAAAGAAGCACUCACACAACCCCUGAGAAUCGGCAAGAGCUGUUUAUUGCCGGGACAUCUUGCAGGCAAGCCUGCGGGAUGUCCGUGGUGUUUGGUGGCUCCAAGCUAAUGCUUGCGAUGGAGCCUGAGCAACGAGCCCGGGACUGCCCAAACGGGAUGCCUUCCGUCCGGAAUGUUCUCAGGCCAGGGUGCCGAACCAGGGGGUCGUCCAGUCCCACACCUCGGUCCCAUGCCACUGUCGGCUUGAUUGUCAUGCAUGGGUCCGACGCUGCCCUCUGGUUUACGGCCAUUACUGGGUCCCGCACUGUGCUCCGGACUAUGGGCAUGCCUCUGCUCCCCGCGGCUGUCUGCCCGAUGCUCCCGCCUUCGCCCCACGUCACCGUUGCUCCUAGGGUAAGGCCCAGGCCCCCUGUCACUGGGUGUGUGAGGGGCCGGCCUGUUCCCCGCAUCGUUGCGGUGCCAAUGGUACCGCCUGUGUGUGUCUGUGGGCUGGGCGCCAGAGGUCCCUUGGGCACUGGUGUCUCUUGUGCCGCCGGCGCUAUCCCUCCGCCCACGACACAUCUCCUUCUGCUCAGGUGCAUUCCUUCUUGGUGCUUCACCGGACGGCAUCGCCGUCCUCGCACACCAAGGAGGCCUGCUGCUCGCCUUGCUCUUCUAGUCUUCCUCCUGCCGCACAAGCUGGCAGUCAGAGGGCCCAGAUGCUCAGCGAAUGCUGGGCCAGCUGCAGGGGGCCUGUUUUAUAGGGCCCGCAGCAAAGGCGGGGCAGUGGUGGCCACUGUGACCUCAGCAAGCCUCUGUGAUGGAGUGGCCCACGCGUGGCCAAAGGCGGCUGUGUUGGGAGCGGCCUGGAAGAUGCCCUCACGUGGACAAGGAGGAGGGUUGGGGGUGCUGAGGGCCCCUUUUCUGGGGCUGGCUUCUCCGGGCCAUUUGGCUUGCCAGAGAGAAAGGCUGCCCCUUGGCCACGGGGACUGCCCUGCACCUCCCAUCUUGUGCUCUGGGUUUAUUUUUAACACUGUUUUUUAGAUAAUUUCAUUCUAUUCUUUACAGAAAAGAACAGAAGCAAGGUGCAUCUUCAGCCCUAGAGCUGUUGUCUCUGUAGA